GGGGAUAUAGCUCAGUUGGUAGAGUGCUUGCUUUGCAUGCACAAGCCCCUGGGUUUAAUCCCCCGCACCACCA
rnacentral:tRNA from 1 species